GCCGGUCCCCGUACGAUUACCGAAGUUAAACAACGUCGAGCCUGGUCAGUACCUAGAUGGGUAACCGAUUGAGAAUAUCAGGCGCUGUAAG